rnacentral:rRNA from 1 species
UACGGAGGGGGCGAGCGUUAUUCGGAAUUACUGGGCGUAAAGCGCGCGUAGGCGGCUUUGCAAGUCGGGUGUGAAAUCCCCAGGCUUAACCUGGGAACUGCAUUCGAGACUGCAUAGCUAGAGUAUCGGAGAGGGAAGUGGAAUUUCAGGUGUAGCGGUGAAAUGCGUAGAUAUCUGAAGGAACAUCAGUGGCGAAAGCGACUUCCUGGACGAAUACUGACGCUCAUGUGCGAAAGCGUGGGGAGCAAACAGG